rnacentral:rRNA from 1 species
CCUACGGGUGGCAGCAGUGGGGAAUAUUGGGCAAUGGGCGCAAGCCUGACCCAGCAACGCCGCGUGAAGGAAGAAGGCUUUCGGGUUGUAAACUUCUUUUCUGGGGGACGAACAAAUGACGGUACCCCAGGAAUAAGCCACGGCUAACUACGUGCCAGCAGCCGCGGUAAUACGUAGGUGUCAAGUGUUAUCCGGAUUUAUUGGGUGUAAAGGGCGUGUAGGCGGGAAUGCAAGUCAGAUGGGAAAACUAAGGGAUCAACCCUGAGCCUGCAUUUGAAACUGUGAUUCUUGAGGGCAGGAGAGGCAAGCGGAAUUCGGGGUGUAGCGGUGAAAUGCGUAGAUAUACGGAGGAACACCAGUGGCGAAGGCGGAUUGCUGGACAGUAACUGACGCUGAGGCGCGAAAGCGUGGGGAGCAAACAGGAUUAGAUACCCCUGUAGUC